GUUCUUGCGUUGUUUAGAUUUUCUUGGCAAACAUCGCCCUCUGCAGCAUGCCUUCUGCAUCUGCAGGAUCCUGAGCGCAAUGCGCUCCUCCGACCCUUAAUGCGCCACUGGUGAGAGACGCUGCGCCAAAAAUACACGCGCUUAUUUAUACGGUGUCUUUCAGGCAAGACCCUAACUCCGUAAUUAUUAACUGUUAUUCAUAUGGGAUCCCUACGUGUCACGAUAAACACUGUUAACACCUUUAAAGCUUAAUUUCAGGUUCAACGUGGAGUACAAUUGAAAAUUAAAGUUCACAGAACUUACAGUUUCCAAUCAGACCAGUUUUCCAAGGUCCUGUGUUAAAAACUUUUGGAGUCCCGAUAAAGAGGCUGAGAGACUCUUCUUAUAUUAAAGCAUCAUGAGAACAAUAAUGGUCAAAAUUAAAAGACUAUCCUGAUCUACAGUUUGUCCUGGUCCUACAUGGAACAGUCUGUCAAGGAGAUUUACUGCUACCAAGAGAAAAGCUACCAAACAUAAAAUCAGCAUCUCAGCAAGAGCCCUGGUACUUGUCAACAAUUCUUAGAGCUUCAUCCUUGCCUACAAAUGAGAUAUUUUUCUUUUGGGACUCAUUAAAUAGGUGAACUGUAAGUGCCAUCCUCUAUUUUGCUCCAUUGUGCAUUUCUUCCUUUGUCUCUGAUAGGAUUUCCUCAUUUCUUUCCGUGGAAAGGAGAGAGAUAGGUGAUGCGAGGCUCUGUUUACCUCUGUGUGUCUCCUUGUCACCAAGACAGAAAUUCCUUUAGUUCACAGUGGGGGUAUCAUGAUCACCACACAGGAAGCUUUGAAACCAAAGACUGCACUGGCAACUCAUCUACACACGUUUGGGGAUCUUUCAGUCUUCCUGGCCUGGGUGACGGUACUAGUGUCACAGGCUACACCUAGGCACUCCUUUUCCAGUGGCAUGAGACUCCUUACUGUAUCCUUACAGUGAAAUGUGUCUGGGAGGACUGCCUAAUCCUCCCCAGCUAUGAAGACAGGGGCUCAACUACAAGCAGCACAUGGACAAUUGAUGGAAAAUAGGUGGGAAAGUAGCUUUUUCCCACCUAUUCUGAGUCCUUUUU
ensembl:lncRNA